rnacentral:rRNA from 1 species
UAUGUGAUCGUCUCUCGCAUAUCAAUAAGCGGAGGAAAAGAAACUAACAAGGAUUCCCCUAGUAACGGCGAGUGAAGCGGGAAGAGCUCAAAUUUGAAAUCUUAAAGGGUUUCCCUUUACGAAUUGUAGUUUAAAGAAGUGUUUUCUGUUGAGGUUUUGGUAAAAGUUCUUUGGAAUAGGACAUCAUAGAGGGUGAGAAUCCCGUAUUUGACCUUUACUUUCAACUUUGUGAUACACUUUCAAAGAGUCGGAUUGUCUGGGAAUGCAGUCCAAAAUGGGUGGUAAAUUUCAUCUAAAGCUAAAUAUUGGCGAGAGACCGAUAGCGAACAAGUACCGUGAGGGAAAGAUGAAAAGAACUUUGAAAAGAGAGUUAAACAGUACGUGAAAUUGUCAAAAGGGAAGCGUUUGACACCAGUGUUGUUUUUCUGAAAAUCAAUUAAAGAACUGUUUAUGCUAAGCUGUUUAGACUUUAUCAGCUAUCUGUUUAGUUUUGAGCUUUUCUUUAAUGCACUUUUCAGUUAACAAGUCAACAUCAAUUUCUUUUGCUGUAAAAAAGCUUGAGGAAGGUGGCUUGAGAUUCGUCUUAAGUGUUUAUAGCCUCUUGCCUAUGCAGUCGGAGAGAUUGAGGUCUGCAGCGUAGAUCCUUCGGGGCUAAAUGCAUUUGUGCUAAGUUAUAGCAUUUUAUAGACAACUUGUUGACUAUGAUUUGUCUUGUAGCUUACUCGCUUAUGUUAUUUUACCUACGCUUAGGAUGUUGAGCGCAUGUCUCUCUCU